rnacentral:rRNA from 1 species
CACUGAGGUUUUAAUUGUCACACUAACAAUAAAAGCAAAUGCUCGGAAAUAGACAUGCACUAAGCAGGGCCAGUCCGAGUCAGUAUUUGGAUGGGAGACCUUCAGGGAAAACUUGUGCACUUCAGGAA